rnacentral:rRNA from 1 species
GACAGAGGGUGCAAACGUUGUUCGGAAUUACUGGGCGUAAAGCGCGUGUAGGCGGCCCUGCAAGUCGGAUGUGAAAUCCCACGGCUCAACCGUGGAAGUGCAUUCGAAACUGCAGGGCUAGAGUCCUGGAGAGGAAGGUGGAAUGCUUGGUGUAGAGGUGAAAUUCGUAGAUAUCAAGCGGAACACCGGUGGCGAAGGCGGCGGCCUGGGUUGACACUGACGCUGAGGCGCGAAAGCGUGGGGAGCAAACAGG